rnacentral:tRNA from 1 species
UCACUAGAAAGCUAAUUAUUGGAUAAAGCAUUGGCCUUUUAAGCCAAAGUUUGGUGCCUGCCGACCACCUCUAGUGAA